GACGAACGCUGGCGGCGUGCUUAACACAUGCAAGUCGAACGGAAAGGCCCUGCUUGCCGGGUGCUCGAGUGGCGAACGGGUGAGUAACACGUGGGUGAUCUGCCCCUUAUUUUGGGAUAAGCCUGGGAAACUGGGUCUAAUACUGGAUAGGACCAUGCUGUAGGUGGUGUGGUGGAAAGAUUAGUUUCGGUAAGGGAUGAGCUCGCGGCCUAUCAGCUUGUUGGUGGGGUAAUGGCCUACCAAGGCGUCGACGGGUAGCCGGCCUGAGAGGGUGGACGGCCACAUUGGGACUGGGAUACGGCCCAGACGCCUACGGGAGGCAGCAGUGGGGAAUAUUGCACAAUGGGCGCAAGCCUGAUGCAGCGACGCCGCGUGGGGGAUGACGGCCUUCGGGUUGUAAACUCCUUUCAGCCAUGACGAAGCCCUUGUGGUGACGGUAGUGGUAGAAGAAGCACCGGCUAACUACGUG
rnacentral:rRNA from 1 species